AAUAUUGCGCAAUGGGGGCAACCCUGACGCAGCAACGCCGCGUGAAGGAUGAAGGUCUUCGGAUUGUAAACUUCUUUGAUUGGGGAAGAAAUUGACGGUACCCAAGGAACAAGCCACGGCUAACUACGUGCCAGCAGCCGCGGUAAUACGUAGGUGGCAAGCGUUGGUCGGAAUUACUGGGUGUAAAGGGCGUGUAGGCGGGAGAGCAAGUCAGAUGUGAAAACCCAGGGCUUAACUCUGGAGCUGGAUCUGAAACUGUUCUUCUUGAGUGGCGGAGAGGAAAGGGGAAUUCCCAGUGUAGCGGUGAAAUGCGCAGAGAUUGGGAGGAACACCAGUUGCGAAGGCGGGUUUCUGGACGAUAAAUGACGCUGAGGCGCGAAAGCGUGGGGAGCAAACAGG
rnacentral:rRNA from 1 species